rnacentral:lncRNA from 1 species
UGUGGAAGCAACGUCUUCAUACUUGAGCAGUCCACUAUCUUAAAUUCCUUGAGAUGGGAAAAGCUGGCAGACGAAGCCAAUGUUGAUGUUGUUGCUGAACCAAUUCCUGCAUCUUUCAUAAUAAGGGCACUCAACUUUGGCAGAUGUUGAAGAUCCAACAUCUCGAGGCUCUGAAAUGGAUGAAUGGAAGAAGAGGCAAAAGAGGACAAGGAAACAACACACUCUAUCCCUUUACAAUCAUAAAUCCUCAAGUCAAUUGCAUUUUUGAAGGAAGAGUUAUCAUCGACUAAGCAUCUCAAAUAGUGGCACUUUACAAUAUUCAACUCUUGAAUUUCAAUUGGGUGCAUAAUUAAAUCACCUUCCCAAUUCUGGACUCCUCCAAUUGUUACUGUUUUAUCUCUUGUAGCAAGCAUAAAAGAUAAGCCCACCUGUAAAGAGUACUUGAUGAGAUUUUUCUUACUUUGUUGCAUUGAGGAGAUGAACUUAUUGAAUUCACUGAUGUCUUCGAAAUGUCCGGUUAAGCACUCCAACUUCUUCAAUGGUUCCAUCUCCUCUGCUUUUAGACUUGUUCUUUUAUUGUUCUUAUGAAAACACAAGUGCUGAAGGUGAACGAGUUUUGAUAAAAGUCCAGCGGGUAUCUCUUUCAGGGUGAACACUUGAAGAUCAAUAUAUCUUAGCUUUAUCAGCAUAUCCAUUCCUUCAGGGACUUCCUCAAUUUUAGUCCUAGAAAGAUCCAACUUCUUCAAUUCUUGAAGCAUCGAAAGACAUGGCAGAUCUCUUAAUUCAUAACAGUCACGAAGCAACAAUGUUGUGAGGUUCUUUAGUUCAGAGAUGGAAUCUGGUAAACUUUUGAUUUUCGUAGAGGACAAAUUGAGAACACUAAGACAAGGCAUGUUUGUGAAGAAAGAAAUUGAAAUCUUCUUUAUAGGGUUCUCCUGCAAUAACAAGGUUGUGAGCAGUUGACAUUUUGUGGGCAGCACAUCUAUGGAAAUUUCUGAUAUGGAGUUAUGCAUAAGUGACACUUUCUCAAUAUCCGGACUCCAUUGCUCCUUUUCUGGUAACUCUUCUAAUUGCAAACCUGCUUGUAUCAUAUAUCGAGGAUUCAUUCUUGUGAUCGACAAUGCCAUCUCUCUCACUGCAUCAUGCAUCUUUAUGCAAGGUUGACCAUGUACAUUGGUAAUAUUUUCCAACAAGCAAUUCUCUUCUAACUUCUUCAAAAUAACAUGGCCCUUUUCUUUCAUUUCUUGUCUUGUACCCAUAUCAUCUAUGAAUCGCUCGUCAAUCCAGCACUGAAUUAGCUCAUCUUUUCUAAUUUCAUAAUCUUCAGGAUAUAAUGCACAAUGUAAGAAACAAUAUUUCACUUUCUCGUCCUUUAAGUGAUCGAAGCUAAAUUUCAAACGCUUUAUCACUUUAGCUUCCACUUCUUCCUCUUUUUCUAUUCUCUCUUUCAAUUCCCCGAGUGCGUUUUUCCAAAUAAGAGGGUCCUCUUCUCCUUUCAAUGUACCAGCUACGACGACAAUUGUAAGAGGUAGACCCGCACAUUCCUUGACAACAAGCUUUAGAGUAGGCAUUAUAGUUUGAUUUUGCACUAUGUUAGGCCCAACUUUGCUCAAGAACAGUGUCAAUGCCUGUUGUGCUGAAAGGGGCUUCACUUUUAUCACCGUGCAACCCAUAUACUUACAGACAUGCUCCGAACGGGUUGUCAACACCAACUUGCAGCCAUUGCUGUCACUCAGCUCGGGGAUCCCAACUUCCUCUAGAGAGACUUUAUCCCACACAUCAUCUAGGAUUAAAACAUGCUUUCCUGCAUUCUUCAUCAUUUCUGACAAGAUUGCUGCUCGUCUGAGCUUGUCUCCUUCUCUAGGCCAAUCUUCCUUCAACUUCAAAGCACCUGCAAUAUCAUCUUGUACCUUCAUGACAUUGAACUCCUUUGAUAUGGUAACCCAGAUUACCCUUUCGAAUCUUUGUUGCUUUAAAAGAUCAUUGUGGAUGUGCUUCAUGAUAGUGGUUUUACCCACACCGCCCAUCCCCCAAACCCCAAUCUUGCUCACCUCCUCCUGCAUCAAACAUGCCCAAAUCUCAUUUCUGACAGCUUCCUCUCCAACUAGUUCUGAUGUUGGCAGCGGCAACCCAGCAUUUGGACCAUCCAUGGCAAGACCUUCAGAGGCAUUAGGAGCUUUAUCAAGAAAUCUCUUCAUUUCUCGAGUCUUUUCAUCAACCAGCUUGCCGUUGCAAGCACGACAGAGAUAUCUCCCGUUCCUGACUUUGUUUUCAACAACUUGUGCUUCCCUAAUCAUCUCUUUCACAUCUUUCAACCAAUUUUCAACUCCCUUCUUUGGUACCUUCCGCAGAGGACGAAGAAGCUCUGCUUUCACUUGCAGCUCUAUAUCUUCCAUUUUGCAAUUCAAUUCAUCUCUGAUCGUCUUGAAGUUUCUCACAUAGUCGUUCAGCUUUCUGUGAUAUUGCAAAAAUUUACAAACAGGAGUGCCGAGACAAUUUGCAAUGCCAACAACAGGCUCUACGUACUCCAUUGCUAUGUCCCUGCAAUGCAAUCAUAUAUAACAGAAGCAGAGAAUGAAAAUCUGUGAAUGUAUUGGAUAUUUUAUGAAGUAUUGAUAUGUCAGUGUAAGCGUGAAAAGGAAAACAUGAUUGCAAGUUUCAAGCAAUGGCGUUUAUUAGAUGGAGCUAUGGAUGGGUGGCUGACAGAAACAUGAUGAAAUUCUGGUCACCAGAAUUAAGCUCUCAAUGUAUAUAAAAUGCUAGAUUCAAGUGUGCAACAGUUCAUUACAGAAUAUUAAGAGUUAAAAUGUUAAAAGUAUGAGAUUUCAACAUUAUAUUGCUUCUGGGUAGCUCUUUCUGUAUUAAUUUCAAUCUAGAGUAGAUUAUGUCUGCUGAUCAUCUUGUCUUAAAAUCUAAAACUGUUGAUAAUCAGUAGAGGAAAUCAUAGCUUCAGAUCUUCUUACCUGGCUUAGUGGCUGAAAAGUGUUGAGAGAAUAGAACUGAAAAUGAAGCAGUGAAGUUGACUGUCUUACAAAGCUAGCUGCUAAGGCCUAAGAGUAGCAGAUAAUCAGCAACAACCAUUGCAAAGCCAUGAAUUAAGCAAAGAAAAGCAUGUGAUGAAUCAAGCAAAUGAAAGAAAAUUACCUGGACAGGAUGCUUGAAAUUUGGUGAUAGACCUUGGACAUCAAAAGAAAUUAAAAACAGUGAAGAAGAAAGAAUGUUGUGGGUACAAUAGCCAAGAAGAUGAAGAAAGUUAAGAUAGAAACAGGCAAAAUUCCGGGGUAGGUUCCACAAAGGCAGAAUGUUGUUCACCCUUUUUAGGAAUAGUCAAAAUUGGAAUUAUCAUUGUACCAAAAAAAUAUUAGUCACUAAACUAUUGCUAAUUUUUGUUUCAGUCACUCAAUUAAAAAAAGUUACAAUUUCACCACUAAUAUUUUUGAAAUUUUUUUUUGUCACUCAUGGAACUUUUUAAUUGAUUUAAUAAUAAUUUACUUUCAGUCAAUUUGAUUUUAAUAAUAUAUAAAAUGGUAAAAAGUUAAAAAUUAUGUUUAAAAUUUUAGAACAUUAUAAAAUUAAAAAAAUAAAAAAGUGAGAAAAUUAGGGAUAAUUAUUUUUAAACCCUACAAAAUUUCUCUAUAUUAUCUAUAUUCAAUACUCAUUCUUUAAAAACAAACAUAGAAAAAAUAUUAAGCAAAAAUAUUUGUUUUUUACGUCUUCAGUUACUUGACAUAGCUUUUACAUUAUAAGAAAAGAUAAAAUUCUGAAUAUAAUUUCUUUUUACAAUUUGGGUUUUGAAAAAAAAUUAAAAUGUAAUGGAAUUUUGAAUUGAGUUUGGAAAAGAAAAAUUAUGGUAUAUUUUGUAUUCUUUUGACUAAAAAUAUGGCAUCAAGGUCAAUUUCAUAAGUAUUUGUAAUAUCAAUUCUAGAUGUUCUUCAAGGGCAUAUUCAAGUUAUUCAGUUAUUUAUUUCUCAAUACAAUUCAGUUAUUCAACAACAUAUUCAAGAUUUUAUUUUUUUAGAGUUUUUAUAUACAUUUUCCUAUUUUAUAAAUAUUUUUUAGUUUUUUUUUAUAAUUUUAUACAAAAUCAAGGUCGAAUUGACAGAAAAUAUAAAAUUUGAGGACUAAAACUAUUAUUAUACCAACUAAAACAAGUGCCACUUAAUAGUCAGGUGACAAAAAACAAACAAUUUGAAAAACACUAGUGACCAAAUUGUAACUCUUUUUUAGUUAAGUGACCAAAACGAAAACUUACCCAUGCUUGAACGACUAAUGGUGUAGUUUACCCUAAAUUCUUUUAAGAAAUUUAGUUUAAAACCUUUUUAUCUAUACUAUGUAUUAAGUCUUUUACUGAGUUGGUUUAACCCAUCAAUCGGUCCCAACUCAGUAAGAAAAUUAUGAAAAAAUAAUUUUAUUUGUAAAGUAAGAUAUAUGAUUAUGAUGGUGUUUUCGUCUUUUCAUAUCUUUAUAAAUUAAUAAAAAAUUAUCCAUAACGAAAUUUGAACCAAUGACACCAUACAUAUAAAACUUUUCUGAAGUCCAUUGAGUCAUUCACAUUUGCUUCGGCCCCCAAGGCUCGUAUUCAAGUGUUACACAUAACCAUUUACAUAAUUCUUCAUUUUGAUUUACAUCAGUACACAAGUGGUUCCAUAUCAUCAUACCAUUGCAUUUUGAUAUCAUUUACCAAGUUUACCAUUUAUAAUCCCUAUUAAUAGGACUCAAACGAAUAUACAGAUCAUCCAAGCAACACACCAAACUAGCACCGAUGUGUAUAAUCAAAUAAACUGAAGUAACAAAAGUUGGCACAGGAAGCACAUUCCUAGCGCACAAAACAUAUACUGGCACAAGAGGUGCAUCUUGAUGCACAAAGUGCAUACUGGAACAUAAAAUGCAUCCUGGCACAUGAGGUGCAUUCUGACGCAUAAGUGCACAAACUCAUAGACAAUCUAAUCCUAUAACAUGUUAACUAUCUGACUCAACUAGCAGACUAGUUAAUAAGGUACCAAUGUUCAAUUUCAUUUUAUAAUUAAAUACAUAUAUCAUUUCACAAUCAUAACCUUAAUCACAAUCCAAUUCAUUAUCAAUACACAUUAUCCAUAACAAGGUUCUCAAUACAAAGCUAGCUGCUAAGAGUAGCAGAUAAUCAGCAACAAUCAUUGCAAAGUCAUGAAUUAAGCAAAGAAAAGCAUGUGAUGGAUUAAGCAAAUGAAAGAAAAUUACCUUGAGAGGAUGCUUGAAAUUUGGUGAUAGACCUUGGACAUCAAAAGAAAUUAAAAACAGUGAAGAAGAAAGAAUGUUGUGGGCACAAUAGCCAAAAAGAAGAAGAAAAUUAAGAUAGAAACAGGAAAAAUUCCGGGGUAGGUUCCACAAAGGCAGAAUGUUGUUCACCCUUUUUAGGAAUAGUCAAAAUUGGAAUUAUCAUUGUACCAAAAAAAUAUUAGUCACUAAACUAUUGCUAAUUUUUGUUUCAGUCCAAUUUCACCACUAAUAUUUUUGAAAUUAUUUCUUUUUGUCACUCAUGGAACUUUUUAAUUGAUUUAAUAAUAAUUUUAGUCCUUAAUUUGUAUACUUUCAGUCAAUUUGAUUUUAUAAUAUAUAAAAUGGUAAAAAGUUAAAAUUAUGUUUAAAAUUUUAGAACAUUAUAAAAUUAAAAAAAUAAAAAAAGUGAGAAAAUUAGGGAUAAUCAUUUUUAAACCCUACAAAAUUUCUCUAUAUUAUCUAUAUUCAAUAAUCAUUCUUUAAAAACAAACAUAGAAAAAAUAUUAAGCAAAAAUAUUUGUUUUUUACGUCUUCAGUUACUUGACAUAGCUUUUACAUUAUAAGAAAAGAUAAAAUUCUGAAUAUAAUUUCUUUUUACAAUUUGGGUUUUGAAAAAAAAUUAAAAUGUAAUGGAAUUUUGAAUUGAGUUUGGAAAAGAAAAAUUAUGGUAUAUUUUGUAUUCUUUUGACUAAAAAUAUGGCAUCAAGGUCAAUUUCAUAAGUAUUUGUAAUAUCAGUUCUAGAUGUUCUUCAAGGGCAUGAAACUCAACUUGAUAAUACUAUUAAUUUGGUUUCGAGAAAUAUUCAGGAAACAUAUAUAUAAUAAUCUAACUUUUUUUUUCUUUUGAUUUUAAUUUGUUAUUGGAUGUUAUUAAAUGAUGAUUUUCUUUAUUUCUGAUACAAUUUAGUUAUGAAACAACAUAUUCAAGAUUUUAUUUUUCUAGAAUUCUUUUAAAAAUUUUAGUUUAAAACUUUUUUUAUCUAUACUGUGUUAAAGCCUUUUACUGAGUUGGUGUCAACCAUCAAUCGAGUCUCAAGAAAGAAAAUUACCAAAAACAAGACAAAAAGAAGCAAAAUUGGGAGUCAAUUGUUAUGGUCUUUGCUGCAAUAUUGAAUUAUUAAUGGUGGAUGCCAACACCUAAUAGCAAUCUGGCAAAAGGUUCCAUCCUUUUUAGUUGUGGUUUAGGGGUAUCAAUUAAACUUUUAAUCACUCCAAAAACUAUUUGUAGUGUUCCAAUAACUAUAAAUGAAUGCAUGUAAUUAAUCAAAAGUUAAAUCUUUUGGUCAUUGGUCAAUAAUUAUAUCACUUAAUUUUUGAAAAAGAAUUAUAUUGUUUGAAUAGUUAUAAUAUUAGAUGAAUAAUUAUAUGUAUUUUUAAAGACGUUAUUAUUCAGAAAAUACACCUAUUGAAAGACAUAAAAAUUCUUAUAAAUAGGAAUUGUAUUUUAUUUGGAAAUCACACCAACAAGUUCUAAAAUUCUUCCUAUCCUCCCUCAUUUUCUAGUAUUAUUAGAUUGUUUUAUAAAGAGCUACUGCAAAAAUUCUUUGUAAAAAUUAAGUUUCUUGUUACAUAUUGCUCAGUGCUUAGUGAACUAUUCACGUUAGUGCAAAAUGUAAAUAGUCAUCGGCUUCAUUGUAUUCUCAAGGUUAAUUUGCUUGAAAUUCCUUUGAACACCGAAUAUAGGUGAGAGCGGAUAUAACUUUAAAGAUAGUGGUUUGAUACACGUCUUGAAGCCUUGUCAUAUUUCUUCAUUUUCUGUGCGAGUUUCAUUUGUGUUCAAAAUUUUCCUCACCGGAGAUUUGUUCUAAUAUAUAUAUAUUAAUAGCAAAUGAUCUAAGAAGACAUGUAGAUAUAUAUACAUGAUAGGUUCUAAAAGUAACAUGUUUUAAUCUCAUUCUUAAUGCGUUUUUGGGUGAUUAUUCGAUGUUAAUGGUGAAUUUUAUGCUUCCAAUCCUUUAAAUUCAUGUUUCUAUACUUAGGAGAGCAUUUGGGAGAAAAAAGAGCGAAAAUCAGAAAAUUAGAACAAGUUUCAGGAGCCACACGAGCUGGGUCAUUCCACACGGACGAGUGAGUCAUACGAGUUGCCACACAACAAUGUGCCAAACCGUGUGGAAAGCACAAAUUGCACUCUAAACACGCAGAAAAUCGUAAUUUUUAAGUUUUUCGAUCAUUCUAAGACAUAUAUGAAAAAGAUAAGAAGAGGGGAGUGAGUCGUCAUAUAAUAUUGAAGAAAACAACUCGAAAAAUACCAUUGAAGCCGACUUUGAAGCAUAUUUCCAUCAAAAUUGAAGUUCUCCUUUUGAUUUCUUUGAAGAUUAUUAUGAGUUUCUUUAUUUCUUAUAGUUAUACUAUCUUUGAGAUGUUUUUAUUUACUAUAUGGACUAAUUUUUUUUCCAAAUACCUAGGGAGAUGAACCUUAGGAUGAAUUCUAUUAUUUGAUUUCUAUUUUUAUGCAAUAUAUACUUAAAUCUUGUUCUCAAUUAUGUGUGCUUAAUUCUUGUUUUAAUAUUUCUAAACUAUUGAUCCAUGUUUUAUGUGCUUAAAUCAGAGGAGGAAUAGACAUUGUUUAAGAGUAGAUCUAGCAUAAUUGAGUGGAGUUGCAUGCAAUCCUAGAAAUAAUAUGACAUAAAUCUACCGGAUUAGAGUCAAAUUUAACAGAAGGAUCUAUAGAUCAAGUUAAUGCGAUAAUAGGGGUUUUAAUUAGAAAGAAAUUCCAAUUAAUCAAUCUAGAAUCAGUUGCUCUUAGUCUUGAAGAGAGAUAUUAAAAUAAUUUAGGGAUUUCUCCGUAUUAAGAUAUACAGUGAAGAAAUUGUGUGAUUUAGAUUGAUAAUGACAGAUGAAGUUUAGGUGGAUUCUUUCCUAAAUAUUGUCUCGCUUAUUGGUUGUUAAUAGUUUAUUGUUCUGAUAUGUUCUUUGUAGUGUUCUUUAGUUAAUUAAUUUAGUUAAUUUUAGCUUUAAUCAAUCACUCCAAUUUGCCGGUUAAAUAAUAGAAAGACAGUAAUUACUAGUACUUUUAGUCUUUGUGGGAAUGAUAUCUUUGCUCACCGUAACUAUACCAUUAAUUAAUAAAUGCACUUACCGUAAUUAAAAUUUUAAUUGGUUUACGACUGCAAUCGCUACACAUAACUUUAAAAGAUUAAUUGAUGAAGUUGAAAGACUAAAACUGUUACUAUAAGUGUUCUAAAACAGUGUCAGUCUUAACGUCAAAUAAAAAACUUGUUAUUUUAUGCAAAUUUAAAUGUUGUAAAACUAUUGCUUAGGGUGCAAAUCUAAUGUAUACAAUCAACUAAAUGUUGAGCAAAUAAAUAUUAGAAUAUGGCAACUCAAGUUCAGGAUAUAUAUUACAGUUUUUACUAAUAAAAUGAUCAAUCAUCUCACAAUUACCUCUUUCACCAUUACUAUAACAGUUGGACGUCAAAUAUUAUAAUUCAAAGAUGAACAUCAAUGAUUACUAAUAAUGAAUACAGCAUUCCAAACAAUAAUUUGAGAAAAUAGGAAUGUUUGUAUAAACCAAUACAACAAAAUAAGGUGUAGCCACAUUGCUUUAUAAACAAAGAAAUUCUAACAACACUCUCCCCGUAUGAAAACAAAGCAAUAAUUGACUCUACUAACACCUUAAAAGUACUCUCUAAUCCUAAAACAAGCUCAAUUUUCAAUAAUUUGGUCCAAUUGCCCUCUGUAUUCAAUUCCCACACCUCAUCAUUACUUUCAACACGCCACAAAGAGUAAUAUGGCCAUUAAAACCGGCUACCCUCCCUACUCCUUUUCCAAUGGCUGAUACUAGCAAUUGAAAAACUCCUCUACCCAUAUAGUAUGCAAUUAUUAAAUUUCCAAUUAUAAACACCAUUUAGACAUGCUUUACCUCCAUCGGAAUUUUCGUAUAGCUCGAACAAUAACUAAAUCAAGGGUGAGCGUUUGAUCGAAUCCAGUGAAAACAUUUUGAGUUAAUCGAGUUUACAGGUUUUAUUUUAUCAUACUAACUCGAUUUGGAAUUUUUUCAAAUCAAAUCGAAUGAAAUGAAAUUCAAAUAGAGUGAAAUUGUUCAAGUUAACUUAAAAAAUUAAACAUGUCAAAUUAAAAUCUUUUAUGUAGAUUUAAAACCAUAUAUAUUUAAAAACUUAAAUAAAUGCCUCUUCUUCUGAAAGGAGCUUCACUUUUAUCACCUUACAACCCAUAUACUUACACACAUGCUCCGAACGGGUUGUCAACACCAACUUGCAGCCAUUGCUGCCACUCGGCUCAGGGAUCCCAACUUCCUCUAGAGAGACUUCAUCCCACACAUCAUCUAGGAUUAGAACAUGCUUUCCUGCGUUCUUCAGCAUUUCUGACAAGAUUGCAGCUCGUACGAGCUUGUCCUCUUCUUUGUCUAAAUAUUCCUUCGACUCCAACGCACUUGCAAUAUUAUCUUGUACCUUCAUUACAUUAAACUCCUUUGAUAUGGUAACCCAGAUGACCCUUUCGAAUCUUUCUUGUUUCAAAAGAUCAUUGUGGAUGUGCUUCAUGAUAGUGGUUUUACCCACACCGCCCAUCCCCCAAACCCCAAUCUUGCUCACCUCCUCCUGCAUCAAACAUGCCCAAAUCUCAUUUCUGACAGCUUCCUCUCCAACUAGUUCUGAUGUUGGCAGUGGCAACCCAGCACUUGGACCAUCCAUGGCAAGACCUUCAGAGGCAUUAGGGGCUUUAUCAAGAAAUUCCUUCAUUUCUCGAGUCUUUUCAUCAACCAGCUUCCCGUUGCAAGCACGACAGAGAUAUCUCCCAUUACUGACUUUGUUUUCAACAACAUGUGCUUCCCUAAUCAUCUGUUUCACAGCUUUCAACCAAUUUUCAACUCCCUUCUUUGGUAUCUUCCCCAGAGGCCGAAGAAGCUCUGCUUUCAAUUGCAGCUCUAUUUCUUCCAUUUUGCAAUUCAAUUCAUCUCUCAUCCUCUUGAAGUUUCUCACAUAAUCGUUCAGCUUUCUGUGAUAUUGCAAAUAUUUACAAACAGGAGUGCCGAGACAAUUUGCAAUGCCAACAACAGGCUUUACGUGCUCCAUUGCUAUGUCCCUGCAAUGCAAUCAUAUAAAACAGUAGCAGAGAAUGAAAAUCUGUGAAUGAAUUGGAUAUUUUAUGAAGUAUUGAUAUGUCAGUGUAAGCAUGAAAAGGAAAACAUGAAUGCAAGUUUCAAGCAACGGCGUUUAUUAGAUGGAGCUAUGGAUGGGUGGCAGACAGAAACAUGAUGAAAUUCUGGUCACCAGAAUUAAGCUCUCGAUGUAUAUAAAAUGCUAGAUUCAAGUGUGCAACAGUUCAUUACAGAGUAUUAAGAGUUAAAAUGUUCUUUCUGUAUUAAUUUCAAUCUAGAGUAGAUUAUGUCUGCUGAUCAACUUGUCUUAAAAUCUAAAACUGUUGAUAAUGAGUAGAGGAAAUCAUAGCUUCAGAUUUUAUUACCUGACUUAGUGGCUGAAAAGUGUUGAGAGAAUAGAACUGAAAAUGAAGCAGUGUCUUACAAAGCUAGCUGCUAUGAGUAGCAGACAAUCAGAAACAAUCAUCGUAAAGUCAUGAAUCAAGCAAAGAAAAGCAUGUGAUGGAUAAAGCAAAUGAAAGAAAAUUACCUGGAAAUUUGGUGAUAGACCUUGGAGAUCAAAACAGAAUCAUUGAAGUUGGCAAUAAAUAAUAUUUAAUAAAAAUAAGAGUUGGGACAGCAAGGUAUAAGAAUGUAUAAUUAUAUGUUACAACUUGAAAUUAAAUAUACAAGUAAAUGAGUUGUAUUAGUAAAUGAUUUGCAUUGUGAAGUUGUCAGUAUUAAAUUUUGGAUCCUAACUGUAGACAAUUUCUUACAUAUGGACAUUUAGUAAGAAUAUAUAUAUAAAUAAUAUUAAGGAAAAUGAUAUGUCUCUGUUUUUACUUCUUCUAUUUCUUGACGUAGCUUUUACAUUAUAAGAAACUAUAAAAUUUCAAAUAUAAUUUAUUUUUAUAAUUUUGAUUUUGAAAAAUAAUUUAAAUGUAAUGAAAAUUUGAAUUGAGUUUGAAAAAUAAAUUUUUUGUGGUAUAUUUUGUAAUCUUUUGAUUACAAAAAAUGGAAUCAAGGUCAAUUUCAUAAGCCUUGGUAUUAUUUAUAUUAAUAUAAGUUUUAGAUACUCUUCUAGGGCAUGUAAUUCAACUUUAAAAUAUUACUAAUUUGGUUUUAAGAAACAUUGAUUUGUUCUGUUUUUAAUUUAUUAUUAGAUUCUAUUAAAUGAUAAUUUUAUUUAUUUCUCAUUACAAUUCAGUUAUCCAACAACAUAUUCAAGAUUUGAUUUUUUUAGAGUUUUUAUAUACAUUUUCCUAUUUUAUAAAUAUUUUUUAGUUUUUUUAUAAUUUUAUACAAAAUCAAGGUCAAAUUGGCAGAAAAUAUAAAAUUUGAGGACUAAAACUAUUAUUGUACCAACUAAAACAAGUGCCACUUAGGUGACAAAAAACAAACAAUUUGAAAAACACUAGUGACCAUAUAACAUAUUUCUACUCAAUUUUCCAUAUCACAUAUCACAUUUCAAAGUAAUUCAUGUCAUUUUCCAUUUUAUUAAUUUUAGUCUUCUAUCUCAAUAUUUCAUAUCAAGCCUAACACAACAAUUCACAUUUUCGUUAUAUACUCACCUUGACAUUUCCUCAUUCAAUAAACAAUGUAUAUGCAAACAAAUAAUACGAUCUCGAAUCAUACAAGUACAAAUUGUAGGCUUGCGUCACUCGUCAACAACUCUCACUUUUCCUUUUCCUUUUGAAGGCUCAGUGCCGACAUUACUACGUACAAUCACAAAACUGUUCACCAGAGUUAACCUCUCAAUGUAUAUAAAAUGCUAGAUUCAAGUGUGCAAGAGUUCAUUACACAAUAUUAAGAGCUAAAAUGUUUCAAGUGUUUGAGAUUUCUAUCUAUGAUAGAUUAUGUCUGCUUAACAUCCUAUCCUGCCUUAAAAUCUAGAACUGUUGAUAAUCAGUAGAGGAAAUCAUUGCCGUAUUACCUGAAUUAGUGGCUGAAAAGUGUUGAGAGAUUAGAACUGAAAAUGAAGCAGUGAAGUUGACUUCCUUGAUAGGCCUUGGAGAUCAAAAGAAAUUAAAAACAGUGAAGAAGAAAGAAUGUUGUGGGUACAAUAGCCAAAAAGAAGAAGAAGAAAGUGAAAAUAGAAAUAAGCAAAAGUGUAAUAGGUUCCACAAAGGCAGAAUUCUGAUUAAGAAAUCCCAUCUGUUCUUUUAGUUUUUUUUUCUUUGCUGUCUGCCAUUAUAGUUGGCAUUAAAUAACAAUAAGAAUUAAUGGGAAACUAUGGGAUACCCUCCUGUUGCUAUUUCAAUUUCAAUUUUUUAUUUUUGUAAUAAACAUAGACAUGCCUGGGAGGGGGUGUUGCACCUCUCGUGAGAUUCCCUUCAAUUGCUAGUUCAAUUUCUUUUUAUUUUUAUUUUUAUAAUAAACAUACACAUGCCUGGGAGGGGGUGUUGCACCCCAUGUGAUCAAGAGUUGCAAUAACGUUACUGCGUAUGUCUUACUUGAUAGUUACUGAAUGGUUGAUGAUAACCAAUUAAUUUAAAUUGUAGUAAUAUUCAUCGUUGAGGAAGCCAGAAAAAGGCAUAACUUCAAUAAAACAAAUUUUCUAAACAAACAAUCAUAUUUAUAGCACACACAACAAAAACAACUACGAAUUAAAACUCAAAACAUUCUAACAUUUCACAUCAUGCGCAUGUUGACAAUUAUUUUUUAUAAUUAAACUAUAAAAAUGCUUAUCUAUGCUUUUCAUUUUAUGUUGGUCAUCCAACUAUUAAUUUUUUUCAAUUUAGUCAUUGAACUUUUCGAAAUUAAAUAUUUUAAUUACUCCAAGCUGAUUGGGCUUUCUUUUAUUGGUCUAGUAACUAAAUUAGUCGUCUAAUAGUUACACGUUCUAUUAAUUUAAUCUUAAAUAUAAAAAAUUCAAUAAAUCUAGCCUCAAUGUUCACAAAAUUUGUCAUUUUAGUUCUAAUUCUAAAAUUUUCAAUAAAAUUGGCCCUCAAUAUUUAUAAAAUGUUAGUACAAAUCUCCGGUGAGGAAAAUCUUAAACACACGAACGGAACUCGAAUAGAAAAUGAAGAAAUAGGACAAGGCUCCAAGGCGUGUAUCAAGCCACUAUCUUUAAGGUUAUAUUUGCCCCCACCUAUCUUUGGUGUGCAAAAAAGUUUCAAGCAAAUUAACCUCAAGGAUACAAUGAAGUCAAUGACUAUUUGUGUUUUGCACUAACAUGAAUAGUCCACUAAACACUUGAUAAAUGUAUAACAAGAAACUCAAUUUCUACAAACAAUUCCUGCAGUAACUCUUUAUAGAACAAUCUAAUAAUAUUAGAAAAUGAGGAAGGAUAGAAAGAACUUUUAGCAUUUGUUGGUGUGAUUUCCAAAUGAAAUCUCAUUCCUAUUUAUAGGAAUUUUCAUGUCUCUUCAUAGAGACAUCUUUCAAUAGGUAUCUUUAUGAAUAAAUAAAUAAUAAUAACUAUUCAUUUAAUUUUAUAACUAUUCAAGUAAUAUUGUUUGAAUAGUCAUAAUUCUUUUUCAAAAAUCAUAUGAUAUAACUUUUAACCAAUGACCAAAAGAUUUAUCUUUUGAUUAAUUACACCCAUUCAUUUAUAGUUAUUGGAAUACUAUAAAUAUUUGAAAACGUUCCAACACAAAAUCCAUCCAUUUAGUCCUAACUCUAAAAAUUUAAAAUAUAUAUUUGAAAAAUAAUUUUUAGUUUUGUAUUACCUAUCGACUAACUCAUGUGAGAUAUUAGAAUAAUUUUUAGUUGUGGUUUAGGGGAAUCAAUUCAACUUUUAAUCACUUAAUUUUAAAUAAUUUUUAAUCUAAGACAUUUUAUUUUGGAUAAUUAUUUGCAAUUUAGUAUUAACACUAGCAUGUUUACGACAUUGGUUUUGUUUUUUUCUAAAUUUGCUAAGGAAUACAAUAUUUUAUCAAGAUACUUAUGAUCACAAGUCACUUUGGGUUGGAACAUAUGCAAAGGGGAGAUUUAAAGACUUGAAUGUGGGAAAGGGGAACAACUCCAUCAAUGUCCCAAUGAAUUUUAUUGACAUUAAUUUAACUACUAUUAUAUCUAUUUUCAUUUUUCAAGGUUUGAUAAUCAUCUUGCUCAAAUUAAUUAAAGAAACUCAUGAAUUAUCAAAUGUUAAUAUUGGUGUAUUAAAUUCUUCUUGAUCUCUACUGAUUGUAUUAUCUGCCAAUAUUUCUUGACUGUUAUCUCCAUAUGGAUACUCAAUAUAUGUUGUUCCUUUCUUCAUUUUUAUAUUAGAGACUUAAAAUCCUCAAAGCAAGUUUGUUGAAUAUGUCCCGUCUUUCUCAUUCAUUCUCUCGCUCUUUGACAUGAACCUAUUCCUCUAUAUUUUUUAGCUUUUUUCUCCAAUCAGGAGAGCCUUUUGAUUGAACGUUCAAUGGCACUAGAGAUAUAGACUUGUUAAAAUCAUUUUAUAAACAAAAAAUAGUGAACCGAUACCAAAAUAUAUUUACAUUCUAAAACUCUAAUUAGGAAAUUAUUACCUUUGCAAUUAAGUAUGAAAACCUCCUUAAUUAAUAUGAAUUAAUCAAUUAGUUAAAAAGUCUCAUAUAAUCAUUUUACUCUAAUUAUAAUCUCCCACAAAUGAUUCCUCCACUGAGACUAUUUCUCCCCAUGGAUCAACAAAGUUUGUGUUACUUUUACGAUGAAGUGGAUAGAAGUGGAAAAAGUAAAAAGGACCACAAGUUACAUUAAUUUGUCCCAUGUUUGCUUUGUGCAGUUCAGGAUUUAAGAGAUGUAAGGUAACAUUAACUUGAUAGAUGUAUCAUAACACAAAUAAUACGAUCCCGAAUCAUAAAAGUACAAAUUGUAGGCUUGCGUCACUCGUCAACAACUCUCGCUUUUCCUUUUCCUUUUGAAUGCACGUUAGGUACGUACAAUCACAAAGCUGUUCACCAUAGUUAACCUCACAAUGUAUAUAAAAUGCUAGAUUCAAGUGUGCAAGAGUUCAUUACAGCAUAUUAAGAGCUAAAAUGUAUAGAUUAUGUCUGCUUAACAUCCUAUCCUGUCUUAAAAUCUAAAACUAUUGAUAAUCAGUAGAGGAAAUCAUUGCCUUAUUACCUGAACUAGUGGCUGAAAAGUGUUGAGAGAUUAGAACUGAAAAUGAAGCAGUGAAGUUGAGUUCCUUGACUGGAUGCUUGAAAAUUAGCGAUAGGCCUUGGAGAUCAAAAGAAAUUAAAAACAGUGAAGAAGAAAGAAUGGUACAAUAGCCAAAAAGAGUUGCAUUAAUAACGUUACUGCGUAUGUCUUACUUGAUAGUUACUGAAUGGUUGAUGAUAACCAAUUAAUUUAAAUUGUAGUAAUAUUCAUCGUUGGGGAAGCCAGAAAAAGGCAUAACUUCAAUAAAACAAUUUUUCCAUACAAACAAUCAUACUUGAGCCAUACAUAUUUAUAGCACACACAACAAAAACAACUACGAAUAAAACUCAAAACAUUCUAACAUUUCACAUCAUGCGCAUGUUGACAAUUAUUUUUUAUAAUUAAACUAUAAAAAUGUUUAUCUGUUCUUUUCAUUUUAUUUUGGUCAUCCAACUAUUAAUUUUUUUCGAUUUAGUCAUUAAACCUUUCGAAAUUAAAUAUUUUAAUCACUCCAAGCUGAAUGGGCUUUUUUUUUAUUGGUCUAGUAACUAAAUUAGUCCUCUAAUAGUUACACAUUCUAUUAAUUUGAUCUUAAAUAUAAAAAAUUCAAUAAAUCUAGCCUCAGUGUUCACAAAAUUUGUCAUUUUAGUUCUAAUUCUAAAAAGUUCAAUAAAGUUGGCCCUCAAUAUUUACAAAAUGUUAAUUAAUUUAGUUAAUUUUAGUUUUAAUCAAUCACUCCAAUUUGUUGGUUAAAUAAUAGAAAGGCAAUAAUUACUAAUACUUUUAGCCCUCGUAGGAACAAUAUCUUUGCUACUCGUAAUUAUACUAUUAAUCGAUAAGUACAUUUACCUUAAUCAAAUUUUUAGUUGGUUUACGACCGCAAUUGAUACACAUAUCUUUGAAAGAUUAGUUGAUGAAGUUGAAAGACUAAAACUAUUACUGUAAGUAUUACUGUAAGUGUUCUAAAACUAAUGCUUCGGGUAAUCUAAUGUAUACAAUCAAGUAAAUAUUGAGCAAAGAAUUAUUAGAAUAUGAGAACUCAAGUUAAGGAUAUAUAUUACAGUUUUUACUAAUAAUGUAGAAACAAAAUUAUCAAUCAUCUCACAAUUACCUCUUUCACAAAAUGAGCAAAGAAACAUUUUGUAGAUUCGACCUAGAAGAGAGUUUUGCCAAAGUGAAGAAAUAUGGGCUUCCCCAAGAUGAAGGUGUAAAAUCCUCCAUCUCCAACCCGACAGCCCAGCUUUCUGGUAAAAUGUUUUUGGAUAUUUUCUUAUAAUAAAAGUGUACAUUCUGGAAAUGUAUUGGAAAAAGAAAGGGUUGUGUUGGUUAUGAUGAGUAAGGCUACCAAUGAGGUGUUGGAGAGGAGAGGUGGAAUUUUAGCAUUGAAACAAAUAGUGAGGGUAAUAGUUGAUCCUCUUCUGCUUUAAUGUUUUACUUGACAUCAGUUAAUUUGAAAUGUAGGAGAUUUUGCAGUGUCACGGGCACAGAGUGACAAAGAAAUUAUGAGAGAAAUACAGGCAAUCAACUAUCACUUACUUGCCAUGCCUUGAUGAACCAUGUAGAGCACUAUUUGAGUUCAAUUUUUUAAAAGCUUUCCCAUGCCCCAGUAUGUGUUAAUGAUGUAUGAUUUGAUAGGGAUGAUACAUUAGUUUUUUAAAAGCUUUCCCAUGCCCCAAUUUUUUAAGGUUUUAAAAAUAGCAUAAAAAAAAUUAAAAUAAAUAAAUAAAAAGAUUUAAGUUAAUCUAAGUCCCACUUACCAGAUUUUAUAGAAUUUAAAUUGGUGAUAAGCUAAAGUCUUACCACUGAUCAGUAGACUCAUCAUUGAAAAUAAGAGAUAAGCCCUAAGGCUCAAGUUGAACAUAAUACCAAAAUAAAUAGGAAAUAUUUAAAAAUAAAAUUAAACCCAAGACCUUAAGCAAAUAUUCAAAGCACUUAACCACCACACCAAAUCAAAUUACUUAGAUACUUAACAACUAGAAUUCAUAAAGUUUGGGGCAUUACGCCAAUGUAAAAUAAAAAAGUUGAAGUUUUUUUUAAUCCAGAACCUCUGUAUCUAUGCCUCUCUCGACAACAAGAACAUCCUGUUUUAACUUUUUCUUUUUAAAAAUGUAAACUUUCUGGCGUUACAAACUACAGAAUUAUUGAGAACCUAUGAUAUUUUCAGUAUUUAAAACUGAAAAAAUUUAAACCUUUAGCUUCGAAAUAAAAGUCGGACAACAAAAUGAAGCAAGAAAAAAAAGAAGGAAACUAAGUUUUUUUAUUUAUUUUUAUUUUCCAACUUAUCCAUCACAAAUAAAAGAAAUAGGAAAAUGUGUUUCAUAUAUGGGAAACGUGGAGGGGUUAUUUGCAACAUAAUCCCCUUAAUGUUUUUAAUUUAUUUUAAAAGGGAUUUCACCUUUUUAAUUUUCUCAUUUAGUCCUCAUAAUUUAAAAUAUUAUUUAAUUUUAGAAAUAUGUUAAUAUUAUUAAGUAUGUUAAUCCCUACAAUUUUUAUAUUACUUAAAGAAAAGGAAUUUAUCUUAUUUAAUUUCCACUUUUAAUUUCUAAUAUCAUACUUUUAUGAAAGUACAUUAUUGUUUUAAUCUUUAUGAUUACGUUUACAUAUGAAUAAGUCCAAUUAUAUAUAUAUAUAUUUAGAAGGUUAUUUUGGGAAGUACAUAUAUUUAGAAAUAUGUUAAUAUUAUUAACUAUGUUAAUCCCUACAAUUUUAUCCUCCCCCCUACUUCUUUCCCACCAACCCUUUUAUCUUUCUCUUCAACAUCAUCACAAAUAUACUUCCAAUUUUAUUAUUAUGGAGAAAUUAGAUUUAUCAAAAUAAAACAAUAAACAAAACCAUAAAUGGUUCAUACCUCUUAUCCUGCAAAGGGGUUGAAGCGAAGAACAUUUUUAAAGUUUGGAUGGUCAUCCCACUCCAACCAUUCCCACCAUUCUUCCCAUGACCUGAUGGUAAGAGAAGGUGGAGCAUAUGCAAAUGGCUGCCCAUUGCCAACAAGGGGAACAAAUGGAGGAAAUCUCUUCAGUUUAUAACAGUCUCCAGCAACUUGGAUAAGUUGGAGAGAAUCACAAACCAUCACUCCACUUUUGCUGCAUAUGCUCUUCAAAUUUGGUAAUUCCCAGAAUGACAACUCUCUCAAUUUGGGAAGAUGGAAUUUGAUUAAUGCAUCACUCCCUUUUUCUUCAACUUCAGAUGUUUCUGCUCCCAAUAUUUCUACUAGCUGGCUACAAGCAAGCACAUGUAUUUCUUCCAGGUUUGAAGGUUUGGAAGCAACCAAUGUGGAAGCAACGUCUUCAUACUUGAGCAGUCCACUAUCUUAAUUUCCUUAAGAUGGGAAAAGGUGGUAGACGGAGCGAAUGUUGAUGUUGUUGCUGAACCAAUUCCUGCAUCUUUCAUAAUAAGGGCACUCAACUUUGGAAGAGCUAGAAGAUUCAACAUCUCGAGGCUCUGAAAUGGAUACGCGAAAGAAGAGGCAAAAGAGGACAGGGAAACAACACACUCUAUCCCUUUACA